UGUGAAUAAAAGCUAAACCCAAACCGAUCCAUAAUCCAUAUUUUCCUAGCUAGCUAGCCGCUAACAAAAAGUCAACGAAAAUGGCGUUGGUGAAGCCGCUUAUGUUAGGAUUAGUAGCCUUAAUCCUUAUGGCAUCAGCAAUAGCAGUUAAUGGUGGGUGGUGGUGCUCGGAGAAAGAAGAGAUUUGCUCGCAAGUAAUUUCCGUUUUCCAACCAAACUGUUGCGAAGGCAAUACUUAUUGUUCCUAUAACGCUGGGGUUGGAAUAUGUUGUGAGGAAAACAAAGAAAUUCAUAUUGGUUUUCAGUGCGUGCCGUAUCAGGAAGAUCCUUAGCCAAUGAAACCAUGGCUUCUCAUCGAUCUUCGUGGUCCACAUAUCUGCCUGGAAUUGUUUCAACUUUAAUUAAACUAUCAUCUGCUCUUUUUAAAUCGUCAAUUGUUUCUUGUGUUCUUUUUUUUUUUUUUGUUUUGUUAUUGCACCAUUGGAUUUUGA